rnacentral:rRNA from 1 species
UACGGAGGGUACGAACGUUAAUCGGAAUUACUGGGCGUAAAGCGCGCGUAGGCGGUUGAUUAAGUGGGAUGUGAAAGCCCCGGGCUUAACCUGGGAACUGCAUUCCAAACUGAUCAACUAGAGUAUGGUAGAGGGUGGUAGAAUUUCCUGUGUAGCGGUGAAAUGCGUAGAUAUAGGAAGGAAUACCGAUGGCGAAGGCAGCCACCUGGACCAAUACUGACGCUGAGGUGCGAAAGCGUGGGGAGCAAACAGG